rnacentral:rRNA from 1 species
GUGUCAGCAGCCGCGGUAAUACGUAGGGUGCGAGCGUUAAUCGGAAUUACUGGGCGUAAAGCGUGCGCAGGCGGUUCGUUAAGUUCGUUGUGAAAGCCCCGGGCUCAACCUGGGAGGUGCAAUGGAAACUGGCGGGCUCGAGUCUGGCAGAGGGGGGUGGAAUUCCACGUGUAGCAGUGAAAUGCGUAGAGAUGUGGAGGAACACCGAUGGCGAAGGCAACCCCCUGGGCUAAGACUGACGCUCAGGCACGAAAGCGUGGGGAGCAAACAGGAUUAGAUACCCCAGUAGUCC